CUGAGCACAGGCAAUUGUUUCUAUCCAUUGGAAGACCCACUAUCAACGUAUAUUUACGAGUAAAUAUACGUUGAUAGUGGGUCUUUCAAUGGAUAGAAACAAGUGCCUGUGAGUCUGAGUCUCAGUGACUGCUGUGGAAAGUAAACUUGGAAUUGAUAGUACAAAAAUAAAACAUAGGCCCGAUUACAUUGUUCAUACACUUUUAUCCGUGAUUGGCUAUUUUGUAACUAUUUUAAACGUACAGUUGAAUUAGUUUUGAAAAUAAUAUUAUCCAGCUACAUGUAUACAUGUACAUGUGUCAAUGAAAACAAGGCAAUCGUAUCCCUCAGAGCAAUCUGCUCUUUGAUUU
rnacentral:lncRNA from 1 species